rnacentral:rRNA from 1 species
AACGAACGCUGGCGGCAGGCCUAACACAUGCAAGUCGAGCGAGGACUUCGGUCCUAGCGGCGGACGGGUGAGUAACCCGUGGGAACGUGCCCUUUGCUUCGGAAUAGCCCUGGGAAACUGGGAGUAAUACCGGAUGAGCCCUUUGGGGGAAAGAUUUAUCGGCGAAGGAUCGGCCCGCGUUGGAUUAGGUAGUUGGUGGGGUAAUGGCCUACCAAGCCGACGAUCCAUAGCUGGUUUGAGAGGAUGAUCAGCCACACUGGGACUGAGACACGGCCCAGACUCCUACGGGAGGCAGCAGUGGGGAAUCUUAGACAAUGGGGGAAACCCUGAUCUAGCCAUGCCGCGUGAGCGAUGAAGGCCUUAGGGUUGUAAAGCUCUUUCAGCUGGGAAGAUAAUGACGGUACCAGCAGAAGAAGCCCCGGCUAACUCCGUG